CGAAUGCUGACAUAAGUAACGAUAAAGCGGGUGAAAAGCCCGCUCGCCGGAAGACCAAGGGUUCCUGUCCAACGUUAAUCGGGGCAGGGUGAGUCGACCCCUAAGGCGAGGCCGAAAGGCGUAGUCGAUGGGAAACAGGUUAAUAUUCCUGUACUUGGUGUUACUGCGAAGGGGGGACGGAGAAGGCUAUGUUGGCCGGGCGACGGUUGUCCCGGUUUAAGCGUGUAGGCUGGUUUUCCAGGCAAAUCCGGAAAAUCAAGGCUGAGGCGUGAUGACGAGGCACUACGGUGCUGAAGCAACAAAUGCCCUGCUUCCAGGAAAAGCCUCUAAGCAUCAGGUAACAUCAAAUCGUACCCCAAACCGACACAGGUGGUCAGGUAGAGAAUACCAAGGCGCUUGAGAGAACUCGGGUGAAGGAACUAGGCAAAAUGGUGCCGUAACUUCGGGAGAAGGCACGCUGAUAUGUAGGUGAAGCGACUUGCUCGUGGAGCUGAAAUCAGUCGAAGAUACCAGCUGGCUGCAACUGUUUAUUAAAAACACAGCACUGUGCAAACACGAAAGUGGACGUAUACGGUGUGACGCCUGCCCGGUGCCGGAAGGUUAAUUGAUGGGGUUAGCGCAAGCGAAGCUCUUGAUCGAAGCCCCGGUAAACGGCGGCC
rnacentral:rRNA from 1 species